rnacentral:lncRNA from 1 species
UGUUAGAAGUGAGACCUUUGGGUGGUGAUGAUGUUGUGAGGGCAAAGCACUCAUGAAUGAGAUUAGUGACCUCAUAAAAGCAGCCCCAGAGAGCUGCCUUGCCUUUCCUGCCAGGUGAGUACACAGUGAGAAGAUGGCCAACUAUAAGCCAGGAAACAGGCCUCCAUCAACAUGGAAUCUGCCAGCAACUUGAUCUUGGACUUCCCAGCCUCCAGGAUUGACAAAUGGAGACACAGCACAGUUACGUCAGAAGAUGAAUGCAGAGAGACAGAUGACAGCACUCUAGCAUCAGAUUCUGAUGAAAGGAGAAGAAGACAGAAGAAAGA